CCACUACCCCACCGGGCUGCCCCUCCAUCUUCUUAAUAAUUGGAAAAUAUUUUCUUCCCUUUUCAUUUGUAUCUUCUUCCAUUUGGCAUUUAUGGUGGCAGCAGGGAACAGGUGUCUAUUUUUAGAAUGGACUGAAACCAGCACUUUGUGCUUGUCUUACUAUGGCAACUGGACUGAUUCCUAUCACUUAUUUAAAGGUCUUUCGGAGCAAGAAGCCAUUCCUUUCAGGGCAAUGCCUGGAGAGUGCUGUCAGGCGCUCUGGGGAAGGGGAAGCUGAUGGGACCUCAGAGUAGAGAACAGUGUCUGCAUGUCCUGAAACCAUAUUUCCUUCUAAGGUGCAUGCUUCCCAGAGCCACUGCAUUCUAGUGUAGCGCCAGCUGCCAGACACUCCACUGAAUGGAUGGGUGAGCUGAUGAGUACCUGGGAGUCCACAGCCCACCAGGCAGAGAUUCAGUGAGAAGUUGACGCCCAGAGUGGAGGACCUGCAGAAGGCAGCAGGUCACUGAUGCUGGUUUGAGGACCC
rnacentral:lncRNA from 1 species